rnacentral:lncRNA from 1 species
AGAAAAAAAGAAAAAAAAAAGAAAAAAAUUCGGGGCAGAUUUUGCUUCUAAUUUCCUUGUGGGUUCUUUAACGCUUCCAUUGAAUUGUUCUCAAUUCAAACCUUCCUUGAACCCUUUGUUGGUUCCAAUUAAAUUGUUUCUUGCGAGUUCUUGUUCCCUAAGGUUAUCAUCGACUCCUUACUGUUUCCUGUUGUGUAGAAACAUCCAAAAGGUUCUUAUUUAAGAGCUCAUAAGGUGAAGCUAAGUGGUAAAAGGUAAGAGGGUGAGAUGAUCAUCAAGAAAAAACCAUAAAAGAGUGUCCACCAGAGAGAGGAGUGUGUGAGGACCUAUUCUGUUUAUACUAAUCUUUUGAUUGCAGCAUACAAAGAUGAGUAGUGAAGGUAGUAAACAACCAGAUGUUGAUAUGAAGUUAUGGAUGAAAGCCAUUGCUGAUCAACUUACUAAGCUUGGUGCACGAAUGAAUGAUUUGGAAUCACCAAGCAGACUCAAACCUUUGAGGGGGCG